CAGGCUGCCGGAGCCAGCUUUGACAACCCCCUCGGGUCCCCUUCCACAGUGUGGAAGCUUUGUUAUUUCGCUCUUUGCAAUAAAUCUUGCUACUGCUCACUCUUUGGGUCCACGCUACUUUUAUGAGCUGUAACACCCACCGUGAAGAUCUGCAGCUUCACUCCUGAGCCCAACGAGCCCACGAGCCCACUGGGAGGAACCAACAACUCCAGACGUGCUGCCUUAAGAGCUGUAACACUCACCGUGAAGGUCUGCAGCUUCACCCCUGAGCCAGUGAGACCACGAACCCACCAGAAGGAAGAAACUCCAAACACAUCUGAACAUCAGAAGGGACAGACUCCAGACGCGCCACUUUAAGAGCUGUAACACUCACCGCGAGGGUCCGCGGCUUCAUUCUUGAAGUCAGUGAGACCAAGAACCCACCCAUUCCGGACACACCAUCAUCAUGUAAGGCACUAACAACAGGAGAAGCUGGGUGAAAGAAUCUAUGUCACAGUGAUUGAUUUACUGCAUAUGAGCAGAAUGAACCUGGACCUGGCCAGUAUCAUUAAGGAGUUUUGGAGAGUCAAUGCAUGAUGAUCUCUGAAGAUUCUACUGAAAUCUAAUCAAUAUGUCCUCACUGCCAUCAAUUCAAAAGAACUUGCUAAGAAGGCUCUAGAGGCUUGUACUCUCAGAUAGUGAAAGUGAGAUGAUGUGUAGUGAAAGUCAUAUAUAGGUUGUAAAUUGCAAUAUGGAAUUCCCAAAUGCUGAAUUCAUUUUAUCUCUUCGGAAAUAAAAACCUGUUAAAGACUCAUU
rnacentral:lncRNA from 10 species